UAAAAUUAUCUAUCAAGCUCACCUGAGUCCCAAAUAAACAAAAAUACAAACCAACCGCAUAAGAAAACUGGCACCUAUAACACAGAUAUACUGCUGAGCCAAUAUCUCAAUAUUUUUAGUAUAAUGACAACAAGUAUUCAAUCGCAUAAAAAACUCUGGAGUCUAAACCCACAUGAAAUGAGCAACAGAUACAUCUAGAUUGAACUUCGAGUUGGCAAAUCUAUUUACUCCCUCAGUCCAGCACGGUUGCAUUCUCAAGAGAGAUAAACAAACAGCUUUCUUGACCAAACUCAAAUUGCAGUAAAAAAUAAAAAUGGACAGAAAAAGAAUAAUCAUCCCUCACCUAAAUUUAAAACAGAAGAUUAUGUAAAAGCGCCUCAGGAAGACCUUAAAAUGGUUCACAGAAAAAUAUAAGGAUUGAUAGAUAAUUAGAUAUAAUAAACUCUCCCUCAACUCAAACCCACCAAAAUUUAGUAUCAUUACCUAGCAUAUUAAAAGAUAAACGAAUAGAAAACAAGUUUAUCAUAGACUCACCAAGCAAGUUCCUUGCUGCUCCACUGACAAGGGAUAAAAGGCUCACAUAACUUGCUAUAAAAUGCAUCCUUUGAUUUAUGCCAAUUAAACCCUCAGCAUUUAGAACCACACUUCAGAACUUCCAGCAACAAUUACUUUAGUAUACACAAGCACUUUACAACCACCAACACUAAGCUUUUUCAUAAUACUUGGAAUAUGUGAGGAUAUAUCUAAUGCAAUAAAAUAACUUUAUUUGUUUUUAUUGAAAUCAAGGACCAAGAAGUGUGGAUUAAUAAACAGGUAAGUCUCAUGCUGGACUGGGCUCUCCAUGACCAAGCCAUUUUGGUUUGGUUUGCUAACACUUAUAUACCCUUUAAUUUUCUUGUACAUUGCCAAUGUGGGACUUGUUCCCACAAGCCAUAUAUUUCAACACCAACUAAGCUUGGCUCAGACUUCACUGGCUCAGUUGCCACUUUAUAUUGCAUGGGGUGGCCCAUCUAAUUGGGGUCUGGCUCCUCUUGACCUCUCCUCAAGGUCUAGCUCCUUGGGCUAGCCCAUGGAUCCAUUUGAAUCUAGCUAGAUUAGCUCAGCUCAUAGAGUCUAGCUCACUAGGGGUCAGCCCACCAUGCUUUUAGGUCCCGAAUCUACAGUCGUUAGGACUCACCGCUCUGAUACCAUGUUGAAAUUCAGAGCUAAGGAAAAUACAUUAAUAAAUAGACAAGUCUCCAUACUGAACUGGGCUUCAAACUAGGCUCUCCAUUACCAAAUUGGCCUUCAUUUGCCAACACUUAUAUGUCCUUUAAUUUUUUUUGUACACUGCCGAUGUA
rnacentral:misc_RNA from 1 species